AUACGGAGGGUCCAAGCGUUAUCCGGAAUCAUUGGGUUUAAAGGGUCCGCAGGCGGUCAAUUAAGUCAGAGGUGAAAGCCCAUCGCUCAACGAUGGAACUGCCUUUGAUACUGGUUGACUUGAGUUAUACGGAAGUAGAUAGAAUAAGUAGUGUAGCGGUGAAAUGCAUAGAUAUUACUUAGAAUACCGAUUGCGAAGGCAGUCUACUACGUAUAUACUGACGCUGAGGGACGAAAGCGUGGGGAGCGAACAGGAUUAGAAACCCCAGUAGUCC
rnacentral:rRNA from 1 species